GGCUCAGGAUGAACGCUAGCGACAGGCCUAACACAUGCAAGUCAGGGGCAGCACAAGGAGCAAUCUGAGGUGGCGACCGGCGCACGGGUGAGUAACACGUAUGCAACCUGCCUGUAAGCGGGGAAUAACCCGUUGAAAGACGGACUAAUACCGCAUAAUACUAAAUUACUGCAUGGUAAUUUAUUUAAACAUUUAUGGCUUACAGAUGGGCAUGCGCAUGAUUAGCUAGUUGGAGAGGUAACGGCUCCCCAAGGCAACGAUCAUUAGGGGUUCUGAGAGGAAGGUCCCCCACACUGGUACUGAGACACGGACCAGACUCCUACGGGAGGCAGCAGUGAGGAAUAUUGGUCAAUGGACGAGAGUCUGAACCAGCCAAGUCGCGUGCAGGAAGAAUUGUCCUAUGGAUUGUAAACUGCUUUUGCAGGGGAAUAAAGUGCAUCACGUGUGAUGUUUUGUAUGUACUCUGCGAAUAAGGAUCGGCUAACUCCGUGCCAGCCGCGGC
rnacentral:rRNA from 1 species